CUGAGAACUUUCCAGAGAUGGAUUGGUGCUUUCGGGAACUCAGACACAGGUGCUGCAUGGCUGUUGUCAGCUCGUGUCGUGAGAUGUUGGGUUAAGUCCCGUAACGAGCGCAACCCUUGUCCUUAGUUACCAGCACCUCGGGUGGGCACUCUAAGGAGACUGCCGGUGACAAACCGGAGGAAGGUGGGGAUGAGGUCAAGUCAUCAUGGCCCUUACGGCCAGGGCUACACACGUGCUACAAUGGUCGGUACAAAGGGUUGCCAAGCCGCGAGGUGGAGCUAAUCCCAUAAAACCGAUCGUAGUCGGGAUGGCAGUCUGCAACUCGAUCUGCGUGAAGUCGGAAUCGCUAGUAAUCGUGAAUCAGAAUGUCACGGUGAAUACGUUCCCGGGCCUUGUACACCCCGCC
rnacentral:rRNA from 1 species